CGACCUGGAAACCUCCGAGCUACCCUGAAUGCACCAGCAGCAGAUCCCUGUCGCCGGACCCUGAAUGCAACAAGCUGCAGAAUCGGACUCUGCGCAUUCUGACGCGAGGAGCGAGGAAACGAAGGGUUUUUCAAUCCUCACUCAAGCAUCGCUCCGAAGUGACCUGGAGGAAGGAAGAUGUCAGUGGUUUAUAAAGACGACCAGGAGGACUGGCUGACAGUGUGUCUCAAGUACCUGCUCUUUGUUUUCAACUUUCUCUUCUGGGGGCGGACAUAUUUUGGGCCGGGCCCUCACUCCACCGUCUCCCCCCGGGGCCAUUCUUACAUCCAAGUGGCGCCUCCUUGAUUGGCCAUGUGUUGUUGUGGAUUCGGGGAUCUUGCCUUUGGACGGGAAGGGAUGAAAAGGAGACGCACUCCGAGGCAUUUCCUCUGCGUCCACCACCCUGCGUUUGUUGUCCAGGAAGUGGUUCUCCGUGCUCGGGCUUGACCUCUGUAGUCCCACUGCUCCCAUCCCUGUUGUUCUUUGUGCCCGACUGCCUCUGCUCUGUUUCUCUUUCUAUUUCCUCCCGCUUUUUUUCUGCCCUCUUAUCACUCCCAUCUCUCACGUUGUUUAUCUAUUAUAUCUGCUGCUUAUCUAACAUCCUUGAGCUCACUUCCUAUCCGUCACUUCCUGGCCUGUGAAGUCGUAGAAUGCUUGGUCUUGUUUUGUGAUAUAUUU